rnacentral:lncRNA from 1 species
AAGUUGGAUUGAAGUCUUGCAUAAGGGCACAUAAUAAGCAUACAUUCUGGUCUACUAGCUGUAUGAUAAAAUAAUUAUUCUAUCAUGCUUCAAUACAGCUUUAAACAAUAGAUCUACUUUGUUCAUCCCUUUUCAAAUUCUACAAGAUGGGGUCAUAGAUAUACCUUCUUCAUGCCAAUCUUCUAUAAGAGUUUUCUUGUGGACUAACGUUGGUCAAUGAAGAUCCCCUUUCCUGUUUGUCUUAAUUUGGAGUUUGAGAGAAGAUGUUAAUUCAUUCAUCAUAUUUCAAACUCACUUUGCAAUAUAACUCUUCAUUAGUAGAACCAAAAAUGAUGCCAUCAAUGUGUGCUAUGAGUAAGCAAGAUAUCAUAGAUUCUUCUUUUGAUGCAAAGAUUUGUCACUAUUACUUUCUAUCAAAGAGGUUGCUUAAGCUUUUAUAUCAUGCUUUUGAUGCUUGUUUCAAAUCAUAUAUUGCUUUAUCAUAUUUGUAAUGAGUGUUUUCAAAUAUGGUGGUUAUUUAACAUAUAUCUUCUUUAAUA